GUGGAUGUAGGUUUCCUAAAAGUUGAUGACGUCUUUCCUCUGCUCUGACCCUUAAGCAGGUGACAUCACCUGGACAUCAGCUCCCUUCCCGCCAAGAGCACUUGCAAAUCCAGAACUCCGCGCAUGCGCGACAGUAUACGUAACGUAAACUUCCUGCCAGAUAGUGCUCCCUAACAACAGACAAAGCUGGGUGGAAUUCCGUGUUUUCCCGUUUAGGAGCGAUACAACAACUUCCUGCUGCUUCAAUGGGUCCAGACGGGCGGUCCGGCUGCUGAACCUAGUUUGAGCUUGGUCAGGCUGCAGACAUGGACGACCCACACGAGCUGCCGGUGAAGAAGGCUCGGACUGAUGCCGACGGCCAGCAGGACAGAGGAACUAGGUUGGUACUGGUACUG
rnacentral:lncRNA from 1 species